rnacentral:rRNA from 1 species
UACAGAGGGUGCAAGCGUUGCUCGGAAUCAUUGGGCGUAAAGGGCAGGUAGGUGGUCUGAUUUGUCUGGUGGUGAAAGCCUUGGGCUUAACCCAAGAAGUGCCCCGGAAACGGUCAGACUUUGAGUCUUGGAGAGGGUUGCGGAAUUCCCGGUGUAGCGGUGAAAUGCGUAGAGAUCGUAAGGAAGACCAGUGGCGAAGGCGGGUCUCUGGACAGUUCCUGACACUGAGGCACGAAGGCCAGGGGAGCAAACGGG